UACGGAGGUGGCAAGCGUUGCUCGGAAUUACUGGGCGUAAAGGGCGCGUAGGCGGCCCCUUUUGUCGCGUGUGAAAGCCCCGGGCUCAACCUGGGAGGUGCGCGCGAAACGGGGGGGCUUGAGUUCGGGAGAGGAGCGUGGAAUUCCCAGUGUAGAGGUGAAAUUCGUAGAUAUUGGGAAGAACACCGGUGGCGAAGGCGGCGCUCUGGACCGAGACUGACGCUGAGGAGCGAAAGCUAGGGGAGCAAACGGG
rnacentral:rRNA from 1 species